ACCUCCUGGGCUCAAGCGAUCCUCCUGCCUCAGCCCCAAUCUUUAUGGAGAAAGGAGCACACACGGGACACUGGCUUAAUCCAGCUACUGGAAGGUUUCAGCAAAGGAGAGACAUAACAGGGAAGUGGACAAUAGCCCCCUAGGUUCCUGCCUGAAUUAUGGGGAGGACAGCCCUUAACUGAGAUUAUGAACAAAGGAUAGCAUGUCUUGGCUAAGGCAGCCUGAGCAGCUGAAAACAUGCCUAGGGAGUAUGCCAGCUGUAUUAGUCUUCCAUCUGGAGUCCUUUGAACACAUAACAAAGUACCUGUGGCUUGGUGUUUGUUUGCAGGGGCACCCCAUGCAGAGAUGGGCAUCCUAACCCAUCUCUGGGAUUUUAUCAAGCACUUCCAAGGCUAAGUACUGAAUGGAGGAGAAGACCAGAACUGCCCCCAUAGCAAGGGGGAAGUCCAAGAGAACAUGACUUUGGCCUGUCUUCCAAACAGACUUGCAUGAAGACAGAGUUCUGGGCACUAAGAAACUGAGGGUUGGCUGGAAAGAAAUGGGAUAUUUCUUGAUUAUCCCUGCAACCCUGGAAAAAGGAAAAGUAAUCCUUCAUCUUAUGGGACAACUGAUAGUCCUAGAAGCAGGAGCAGCAAGUGCAACGCUACACAACCAGAAAGAGACGAAGCCAGAACUGAAACUCAGCCCUUCUAAUUGCUUCUCUCCAGUGUUCCAGCUCAAGCCACUCCUAGGCAGAAAUUCCUUCUGGUCAGUGGUUUCAGAAGUUGGGAAAUGGAUUUUAGCUUUUGGUUCCUGACCUGGACUAACUUUGAUUAGUUGAAAUGAAGUCUUUUGAACUUCAAAUGCACUACUCUAUAAAUGGGUGCCCCUC
rnacentral:lncRNA from 1 species